AGGGCCCACCAAACCUGUAACCGGUACGGGCUCUGAGAGGAGGAGCCCGGAGAUGGGCACUGAGACAAGGGCCCAGGCCCUAUGGGGCGCAGCAGGCGCGAAACCUCUGCAAUAGGCGAAAGCCUGACAGGGUUACUCUGAGUGAUCUCCGUUAAGGAGAUCUUUUGGCACCUCUAAAAAUGGUGCAGAAUAAGGGGUGGGCAAGUCUGGUGUCAGCCGCCGCGGUAAUACCAGCACCCCGAGUGGUCGGGACGUUUAUUGGGCCUAAAGCAUCCGUAGCCGGUUCUACAAGUCUUCCGUUAAAUCCAGCUGCUUAACAGAUGGGCUGCGGAAGAUACUAUGGAGCUAGGAGGCGGGAGAGGCAAGCGGUACUCGAUGGGUAGGGGUAAAAUCCGUUGAUCCAUUGAAGA
rnacentral:rRNA from 1 species